rnacentral:rRNA from 1 species
GAUGAACGCUGGCGGCGUGCCUAAUACAUGCAAGUCGAGCGAACAGACGAGGAGCUUGCUCCUCUGACGUUAGCGGCGGACGGGUGAGUAACACGUGGAUAACCUACCUAUAAGACUGGGAUAACUUCGGGAAACCGGAGCUAAUACCGGAUAAUAUAUUGAACCGCAUGGUUCAAUAGUGAAAGACGGUUUUGCUGUCACUUAUAGAUGGAUCCGCGCCGCAUUAGCUAGUUGGUAAGGUAACGGCUUACCAAGGCAACGAUGCGUAGCCGACCUGAGAGAGUGAUCGCCCACACUGGAGCUGAGACGGCGACAAGACUACUGAGGGAGGGUGCAGUCUGGAAUCGUCCGCAGAAGGCGGGAGCUUGACGGAGCGGCGCCGCGUGAGUGGUGACAGUGCUCGGUGCGUAAUACUCUGCUAUGAGUGAAGAACCAAUGUGUAAGUAGCUGUGCCCGUAGUGACGGUACCGAAUCAGGAAGCCACGGCUAACUACGUG